GUAUGCUGCAGGAGCAGUAUCCGAUGGCUCAACCGGUGAAUCCAGUGUAGAUGAUGGUUGGUCUGGGCUGGUCCCAGCGCAGGAAGGUUUUCAUCCCGGUGUGAAGGAGAGGCGAGCAGGGUGCUCUCAUUAAACCCGCCGAACAGUGACAUACCACUGAAUUCACCAAAAUGAUCCAAAAUCAAACUGUCUGAAUGUGGUCGUGGCAUUUCCUCCGUCUCCGCGGGGCAUCCGGGUGCUGGUCUGUGUGUUGAUCGUGUACAGAUGCUCGCAGCGCUGCCAGCGGUGUCACCUGCAGGUCGGCCCCGCUCCUCCGCAUCCCCGUGCUCCAGACCGGGUCUGUAUUCCCAAGUAUUGUGAUUCCCUGGCGCAGAAUUUCUUCCCGGGAGUGGAGCCGCCCUGUGUUGGCCACAGCGAAGAUACGUCGACUGACAUCUCCGGAUAUGGUACCAGACUGCCAAUGUUGGGGAAGAAUUACUAUGGUCACGCUCAAGGGAUGACAUUAAAGAUUUGCUGCCAGGUCCAGAAAAUGUUCUCAGGCACAGGGCACUGUGGUUUCUUGUGAACAGUGAUGAAAAGGUUGAAGGUGUUGCCAAAGAUGUGGAGCCAUCAAAACAAUCUGCCAUUGCAAAUAGCCGCUCUCCAGAAGACAGACCCAAUCCCUUAAAGUAUCUAGCCAUGUCCAGCCCAAAGUAUACUGUCUACACAGAUAGUGAACUUGAACAAGCCCGUUCAUCCUACUUUGAACAAAAACGCCUUGGCUCCACCACUUCUGACUUGUCCAAGGAACUCUUCUGCAGACUGAUUAGAAACACCAUGACAAACAUGGUGUCCAUUGCAAGAGCCCUUGAAGACUCAAGGUACCCUUCCAAACAUGAGGUUGACACUGUGGCGAAAAGAUUAGUCGAGUAUUAUCCAAUGUUAAAGGGAAAAAAAACACCUGAGAGUGAAUGGGGGCAUGUCACCAAGAAGCUCAUAAAGAGGCUCUCAAACAUCAAAAAGCCCAAAAAAAGCCAGUGCACCUUUCAAGAAACGUCCCAUGAACUAUGAAGAGUCUUGCUCAACAGACUUUGAUGAAAUCUUAACUGGAUCAAGCCAAGCAUCCACCAUCAUUCUGGAGAAGUCCCCUGCUGCUGCCAGCACUCCAGAGCCCCCUCCAGACAGCAGUGAAGAUGAUGCUGGGGGUUCUGCUGACACUGACGUCCUGGACAGUCAGAAGAGCCAAGUCAGACACUAUAAUACCCUCCAAGAGAUGUACAAGGCUAAAAAGGCAAAUAAAGCUGCUGUCAGCCACUUGCUCAACCUGGAAUUUGACUCAAGACGAUGCUUCAUCACAUCAGAUGUUCUAAAAGACGAUGACAGGCCAUCAACAUUUUUGGAUGUUUACCCUUGUUUCAAAGAAUUGAACCAUGUACUAGAUGAGAUGUAGAGAGAAUUAUUCAACCAAAAAACUCCAACUACACUGCUGAGACUAGGGACAGAUGGGAAAACUUUUUUUCAAAAGUCAAGUUCUAUGGGGUAAUGAAGAAAGCCAUGAAGCCUCCAAAGACACUCAAUAGUGCAGUGUUUGCAGCUCUACCCCUCCUUUUUCCAUCCAAUGCACCACCAUCAAAGAAAUUAGGCUCCUGCGGUGAAGCUUUUUUCACGCACUUAAGACAUCUGAGGACCCUGAAGGCUAUCUUCAAAAGCGGCC